rnacentral:rRNA from 1 species
AACGAACGCUGGCGGCGUGGAUAAGACAUGCAAGUCGAACGGGACAGGUAGCAAUAUCUGUCUAGUGGCGAACGGGUGCGUAACACGUGGGCAACAUGCCUGGAAGAGCGGGAUAGCCCGGGGGAAACUCGGAUUAAUACCGCAUGUGACAACGGAGCGGCUUCGCUCUGUUUUUCAAAGGUGGGGACCGCAAGGCCUGCCGCUUCCAGAUUGGCCCGCGUCCUAUCAGCUAGUUGGCGGGGUAAAAGCCCACCAAGGCGACGACGGGUAGCUGGUCUGAGAGGACGACCAGCCACACUGGAACUGAGACACGGUCCAGACACCUACGGGUGGCAG